CACGUAGGCACCAAGCGUUGUCCGGAUUUAUUGGGCGUAAAGAGCUCGUAGGCGGUUCAGUAAGUCGGGUGUGAAAACUCUGGGCUCAACCCAGAGACGCCACCCGAUACUGCUGUGACUUGAGUACGGUAGGGGAGUGGGGAAUUCCUGGUGUAGCGGUGAAAUGCGCAGAUAUCAGGAGGAACACCGGUGGCGAAGGCGGUGGUCUGGGCCGGAACUGACGCUGAGGAGCGAAAGCGUGGGGAGCGAACAGG
rnacentral:rRNA from 1 species